rnacentral:rRNA from 1 species
UACGUAGGGUGCGAGCGUUGUCCGGAAUUAUUGGGCGUAAAGAGCUUGUAGGCGGUUUGUCGCGUCUGCUGUGAAAAUCCGGGGCUCAACCCCGGACUUGCAGUGGGUACGGGGCAGACUAGAGUGUGGUAGGGGAGACUGGAAUUCCUGGUGUAGCGGUGAAAUGCGCAGAUAUCAGGAGGAACACCGAUGGCGAAGGCAGCUCUCUGGGACGGUACUGACGCUGAGACGCGAAAGCGUGGGGAGCGAACAGG